CCUACGGGAGGCAGCAGUGAGGAAUAUUGGUCAAUGGGCGCGAGCCUGAACCAGCCAAGCAGCGUGAAGGAUGACUGUCCUACGGGUUGUAAACUUCUUUUAUAAAGGAAUAAAGUCAGGCACGCGUGCCUUUUUGUAUGUACUUUAUGAAUAAGGAUCGGCUAACUCCGUGCCAGCAGCCGCGGUAAUACGGAGGAUCCGAGCGUUAUCCGGAUUUAUUGGGUUUAAAGGGAGCGUAGAUGGGUUGUUAAGUCAGUGGUGAAAGGUUGCGGCUCAACCGUAAGAUUGCAGUUGAUACUGGCAGUCUUGAGUACAGUUGAGGUAGGCGGAAUUCGUGGUGUAGCGGUGAAAUGCUUAGAUAUCGCGAAGAACUCCGAUUGCGAAGGCAGCUUGCUGAACUGCCACUGACGUUGAUGCUCGAAAGUGUGGGUAUCAAACAGGAUUAGAUACCCGGGUAGUC
rnacentral:rRNA from 1 species